rnacentral:rRNA from 1 species
AGCAGUAGCCACGGUAAUACGUAGGUGGCGAGCGUUGUCCGGAAUCAUUGGGCGUAAAGGGAGCGCAGGCGGGCAUGUAAGUCUUUCUUAAAAGUUCGGGGCUCAACCCCGUGAUGGGAAAGAAACUACAUGUCUUGAGUACAGGAGAGGAAAGCGGAAUUCCCAGUGUAGCGGUGAAAUGCGUAGAUAUUGGGAGGAACACCAGUGGCGAAGGCGGCUUUCUGGACUGCAACUGACGCUGAGGCUCGAAAGCCAGGGGAGCGAAUGGGAUUAGAUACCCCUGUAGUCCCUGUCUCUUAUACA